rnacentral:lncRNA from 1 species
CCCAGACCUGAAGUCCCGAACUAACUCCCGAGUCCCGAGUCCCGACUCCACUCAUCGACUAUGGACUCUCACUCAGUCACUCUCUCCCACUCCUCUCCUCCGCUCGCCGCCUCCUGUUGCCGACUCCACUAGUCCACUCAUCGACUACGGAUCUAUGGCCUAUUCGAAGUUUCGAACUGGUCAACUGGAGAAUCUUCUCUCCCAGUCUCACUCUCUCCCACUUCCUCCUCCUCUCGCCGCCUGUGGCUCAGCCGGUUCUCCUUUCUCCACUUCUCUUAGAGAGUCAGAGAUCAACUGAUGAACUGAUCAAGUUCAAUUUUGUUUAAUUUUGUUGUAUUGGAUAUUUGGAUUGAAGCUUUCGUGGAUUGAAGAAUGAUUGAAUGAAGGUUGCAGACUGGAAAUCAAGUAGGCUGUAGGCAUCUGAGUUAGAUUUGUGAUUCGUCUUCGGUUUCAAUUUCUUGGAAUUUGAGUUAGAUUUGUGGGCUGAUUCGGUGACUUGAAGAUUUGCACCUUUUCUACUUCAAGAUUCGCUGCUUUCUUGGGGUUUCUUUGUUUUAAUUUCUUGUUCAUGUGUGCAUCUAUGUUCAAAGAAAGCUCAUCUUUUUCUCAUCUUAAAGAAGAAAACCCAGAAGGAAGUAUCCAACUUCAUUAG